rnacentral:rRNA from 1 species
UACGUAGGGUGCAAGCGUUGUCCGGAAUUAUUGGGCGUAAAGAGCUCGUAGGCGGUCUGUCGCGUCGGAUGUGAAAACCCAGGGCUCAACCCUGGGCCUGCAUUCGAUACGGGCAGACUAGAGUUCGGUAGGGGAGACUGGAAUUCCCGGUGUAGCGGUGAAAUGCGCAGAUAUCGGGAAGAACACCCGUGGCGAAGGCGGCUCUCUGGGACGGUACUGACGCUGAGACGCGAAAGCGUGGGGAGCGAACAGG